rnacentral:ncRNA from 2 species
AAACGCGCUGCAGGAGAGACCGCAGUCACAAGGGCUGCGGCGCCGACGGAGCAACCGCCCCGGAAACUCUCAGGCAAAAGGACUGUAGCGCGUUC